rnacentral:lncRNA from 1 species
GGGGGGUAGGGUAUGCACAACAGGUCUGAUAUUGAAAAAAUCAUAAAUAGCAUAUGGUAAGAUUAACAACAAAUUUUCAAUAAAUUAAAACAAGUUUUACAAGACAAAGUUAUCAUCAAACAUUUUAUUAGGAAUACAAUCAACCAUUAAUAUAUUUGGAAUAAUAUGGAAUGGUCUAUAAAUGAACUGUGUCAAUCGAUUGCAUUGAUUGAAAACAAUAGAGGACUUUAUGGAAGUAUGGAAUUACAAUGGAGAUGAGCUCAGAAAAAAAAUGACAUCCUCCAAGGUUGUACUACUCUCCAAUUUGAUAUUAUUGUAAUACUAAACUCAAUCAAAAAAUAAUAUAUUUCUGCUGACACAGUGGUCAGUAUGUUUGUCCUUGAAAUGUACGCAGAAAUUAAAAAAAAAAAAAAUUGUAAUCCAGAACACAACGAUAUCUUCUGCUAAGCAACAAUUCCUGAUCCUUAUUUCCAAGAUUUUUCUUAAAGUUUUAAAAAUCUAGAUGGAUAUGAAUACUACUGAAGAGUGUCAAAAACUUGUAUCAAAUCAUCUUGUUUAUAUAUGUAUUUAUUUAUCCGCCUUAUUUCAACAAACAAUAAUUCAAAGUUAUAAUUAAUAUGUUAUUAAAAAAGGUUAUCAUUUAAAAA